rnacentral:rRNA from 1 species
GUGGGGAAUAUUGCACAAUGGGCGAAAGCCUGAUGCAGCGACGCCGCGUGAGCGAAGAAGUAUUUCGGUAUGUAAAGCUCUAUCAGCAGGGAAGAUAAUGACGGUACCUGACUAAGAAGCACCGGCUAAAUACGUGCCAGCAGCCGCGGUAAUACGUAUGGUGCAAGCGUUAUCCGGAUUUACUGGGUGUAAAGGGAGCGCAGGCGGUGCGGCAAGUCUGAUGUGAAAGCCCGGGGCUCAACCCCGGUACUGCAUUGGAAACUGUCGUACUAGAGUGUCGGAGGGGUAAGCGGAAUUCCUAGUGUAGCGGUGAAAUGCGUAGAUAUUAGGAGGAACACCAGUGGCGAAGGCGGCUUACUGGACGAUAACUGACGCUGAGGCUCGAAAGCGUGGGGAGCAAACAGGAUUAGAAACCCCAGUAGUCC